CACGUAGUUAGCCGUCCCUUUCUGGUAAGAUACCGUCACAGUGUGAACUUUCCACUCUCACACUUGUUCUUCUCUUACAACAGAGCUUUACGAUCCGAAAACCUUCUUCACUCACGCGGCGUUGCUCGGUCAGACUUCCGUCCAUUGCCGAAGAUUCCCUACUGCUGCCUCCCGUAGGAGUCUGGGCCGUGUCUCAGUCCCAGUGUGGCCGAUCACCCUCUCAGGUCGGCUAUGUAUCGUCGCCUUGGUGAGCCGUUACCCCACCAACUAGCUAAUACAACGCAGGUCCAUCUGGUAGUGGUGCAUUUGCACCUUUCAAUUGACUAUCAUGCAAUAGUCAAUGUUAUGCGGUAUUAGCUAUCGUUUCCAAUAGUUAUCCCCCGCUACCAGGCAGGUUACCUACGCGUUACUCACCCGUUCGCAACUCAUCCAGAAGAGCAAGCUCCUCCUUCAGCGUUCUACUUGCAUGUAUUAGGCACGCCGCCAGCGUUCGUCC
rnacentral:rRNA from 1 species